rnacentral:rRNA from 1 species
GCUUAUCACCAUUCCAGAUUGAAUAUACCCGAUCUCGUCUGAUCUCGGAAGUUAAGCAAUCUCGGGCUUGGUUAGUAAUUGGAUGGGUGACCGCU